CAGUCGCCGCGGGAAAACGAAGGGUGCAAGCGUUACUCGGAAUUACUGGGCGUAAAGCGUGCGUAGGUGGUGGUUUAAGUCCGUUGUGAAAGCCCUGGGCUCAACCUGGGAAUUGCAGUGGAUACUGGGUCACUAGAGUGUGGUAGAGGAUAGUGGAAUUUCCGGUGUAGCAGUGAAAUGCGUAGAGAUCGGAAGGAACAUCUGUGGCGAAGGCGACUAUCUGGGCCAACACUGACACUGAGGCACGAAAGCGUGGGGAGCAAACAGGAUUAGAGACCCCCGUAGUCCCUGUCUCUUAUAC
rnacentral:rRNA from 1 species